rnacentral:rRNA from 1 species
GACGAACCGAGCGAACGUUGUUCGGAAUCACUGGGCUUAAAGGGCGCGUAGGCCGGUAUUCAAGUCUAUGGUGAAAUCCGGCAGCUCAACUGUCGAAUUGCCGUGGAUACUGGGUAUCUCGAGGGAGGUAGGGGCGUGCGGAACUAAUGGUGGAGCGGUGAAAUGCGUUGAUAUCAUUAGGAACUCCGGUGGCGAAGGCGGCACGCUGGACCUCUUCUGACGCUGAGGCGCGAAAGCCAGGGGAGCAAACGGG